GUUGAGCUUAAACAUCAGGAAUUCACUGCACUGGGAAUGGUGGACAAUACAGUCUCUACUGAGGGACUGAUGAGGGCAUUGAACCUAAGGGAAGUUUUCUCCUGGACAUGUUUUUCCUGUUCAGAUGCACCGCCCAAUAGGGAUAUCUUUCUUUCCACAUACUUUCUCCAACCUUCACACCAUGAGCACUUGGUUUCUGGAUUAAUGAAUACACCCUGCUUUUCAAUACUGGGUUUUUAUGUGGAUUUUACUCUGCCUUUGUUACAUUUUGUUAUUUUGUGUCACUUAUUUAUUUGAUUUAUAUUGUGCACCAAGCAGCACUUAGGACUUAAGCACUGUUUCAGGUUUCCCUACUGUUCUAUCUUUCUGUUUCAGGUUUCCCUACUGUUCUAUCUUCCUGUUUCAGGUUUCCCUACUGUUCUAUCUUUCUGUUUCAGGUUUCCCUACUGUUCUAUCUUCCUGUUUCAGGUUUCCCUACUGUUCUAUCUUCCUGUUUCAGGUUUCCCUACUGUUCUAUCUUCCUGUUUCAGGUUUCCC
ensembl:lncRNA